rnacentral:misc_RNA from 1 species
UUUUUUUUUUAUGUGACUAAUAACUCACUAAUAAAUAUUAUUUUCUUUACAUGUCAAACAACUCACUUUAUACGAUUCUUCAGAACUGGAAUGGCCUAACCGCCAAGGGAUGCGGAAAUAGAAAGGGUUCUUUCAGAAUGAAAUAGAAAACAGAAUUUUAUGUUUUAUGCCUCAAGGGUAUUUUAAUAUUCUUUAUAGUUUCCUAUUAAUUUGUGCAUAUACAUCCCACAUUUUGUUGUUAAUUAGUCUAAAUUGAAUAAGUAUUAACUAGUUAAUUAGAGGAAAUUAAUCCAUUUAUUGCCUGUUUAUUGAUCACUAGGCAGAGUUUUAUCAACUUUUUUGAAGCAUAUUGUUGAACAUUUGAUAUAUAUAAUAGAAAGAAAAUAUAUAAAUGUACUCUAAUAUUUUAAGGUGUGAAAACACAUAUUGUUAUACCCUCUACUCUAAACUUUGAGGUUUACCAUACGCUUAAUUUAUAAUUUUUUUAAAGUGACUGUAAACCUUAUGAACCAUUGCAAAUUGAUCCUAUUAAUAUAAAUUCAA